rnacentral:rRNA from 1 species
GAUGAACGCUGGCGGCGUGCCUAAUACAUGCAAGUCGAGCGAAAAGGCGAGGCUCUUGUUCCUUUCUCGUUUGGCGAACGGGUGAGAAUCACACGUGUAACCUGUCCUUGUCUUUCUGAUAACAUCAGGAAACUGGGGCGAUUAUCCGAGAUAAGCUCCUGCUGCACGUUGUUCAUUGGAAAAUUUCGGCGUUUGGGGAUGUACUCGCGGCUUAUCAGCUUGUUGGUGAGGUAGUGGCUUACGAGGGCUUUGACGGGUAGCCGGCCUGAGAGGGUGACCGGCGACCUUGGGACUGAGAUACGGCCCAGACUCCUACGGGAGGCAGCAGUGGGGAAUAUUGCACAAUGGGCGGAAGCCUGAUGCAGCAACGCUGCGUGCGGGAUGACGGGCUUCGGGUUGUAAACAGAUUUCGAAUGUGAUGAAGCGUGAGUGACGGUAAUGGGUAAAGAAGCACCGGCUAACUACGUG